rnacentral:lncRNA from 1 species
AUGAAGACGGACACAAAUGGCACCAAUUUACUACCCAAGCAGCGUGUGACCGAGCCUGCGGAGGGGAGCUGGGACUCGAGCCCAGGCAGGCUGUGUCCUCCCGGCACAGGGCUCCUGCAUCGCCCGGACGGGGUGCAGGAGGCACAGCCCGAGCCGCUACCCAGAGGAGGAUCUCAAAAUCGCCUUUUAAAGGAGCUGAGAGCGCGGGGAGCCCUGGCACGCUGCCUGCCGGCCCUGCCACCUGCCUGCCUGACAAAGCCCAGGAGGGCCGUGGGCAGGGGGAGCUGGGGGGAGCGAGCGGGCACAGCACGGAGAGGCAGCGGGCUCCGAAACGUGGGGCUGCCAUCAGGCAGCGGGGAGCUGCGGGGAGCAUGGAGAGCUCUGCAUCUCCCCACGUGCUCCGUGCAGCCUCAGCUCCCUGCUUCAUCUGGUGAUGGUGCCAAGCCACCCCCCCCCCAGCAAGCAGCCCGGACACCUCGCUGCGAAGGUCCCCGGCCGGGAAGUGAGCUCAGCCCUUUGUUUCCCAGCCCAGCCUCGCAGAUAAAACGCUCCAAAAGCGGGCGGAGGAAAGCCUCCCCCUCCUUAUCGCCCGUCUCUGACUCAGCUCGCGUGGGGAUAACCCGCUCGGGGCCCAGCACGACAGCAGGAUGCCCGGCAGGGAGUGGCGCAGGUAGGAAACGUGGCCCGCGGUGCCAGGACCUGUGUCAUCGGAGGGCAGCCGGCACCACGCCAGCGGCAGCGCACGCGAUAGCGGCAGGGGCUGGCAGCGACCGCUCUGCUGGCUCCUCCGUGCCCCCGGGCAGGUCCCUGCACCGCUUCCAAAUCCCCUUUGUGGACGUGCCCAGCUCCAAAAGCUCUCCGUUCCAGCUCCGAAAGCUCUCCAGCUCCCAAAGCUCUCCGUUCCUGCAGCGCUCCCAGCGCCUUCCUCCUCGCCACGCAGCAGCCUCCGAGGCUAUAGCCUCGAGGGAGGUUUGGGCAACGGCGUGUGAGCACCUCGGAGGCCGAGCCAGCUCUGCGGGCGUGGAGUGA